AUUGAACGCUGGCGGCAUGCCUUACACAUGCAAGUCGAACGGCAGCACGGGAGCAAUCCUGGUGGCGAGUGGCGAACGGGUGAGUAAUACAUCGGAACGUGCCCAAUCGUGGGGGAUAACGCAGCGAAAGCUGUGCUAAUACCGCAUACGAUCUACGGAUGAAAGCAGGGGAUCGCAAGACCUUGCGCGAAUGGAGCGGCCGAUGGCAGAUUAGGUAGUUGGUGAGGUAAAGGCUCACCAAGCCGUCGAUCUGUAGCUGGUCUGAGAGGACGACCAGCCACACUGGGACUGAGACACGGCCCAGACUCCUACGGGAGGCAGCAGUGGGGAAUUUUGGACAAUGGGCGAAAGCCUGAUCCAGCCAUGCCGCGUGCAGGAUGAAGGCCUUCGGGUUGUAAACUGCUUUUGUACGGAACGAAACGGCCUUUUCUAAUAAAGAGGGCUAAUGACGGUACCGUAAGAAUAAGCACCGGCUAACUACGUGCCAGCAGCCGCGGUAAUACGUAGGGUGCAAGCGUUAAUCGGAAUUACUGGGCGUAAAGCGUGCGCAGGCGGUUAUGUAAGACAGUUGUGAAAUCCCCGGGCUCAACCUGGGAACUGCAUCUGUGACUGCAUAGCUAGAGUACGGUAGAAGGGGGAUGGAAUUCCCCGUCUAGCAAUUAAAGCGUUCAUAUGCCGAAGAACCCCGAUGGCGA
rnacentral:rRNA from 1 species